GAAGAAAGCGGGCGGCGUGCUUAACACAUGCAAGUCGAACGGAAAGGCCCUGCUUUUGUGGGGUGCUCGAGUGGCGAACGGGUGAGUAACACGUGAGUAACCUGCCCUUGACUUUGGGAUAACUUCAGGAAACUGGGGCUAAUACCGGAUAGGAGCUCCUGCUGCAUGGUGGGGGUUGGAAAGUUUCGGCGGUUGGGGAUGGACUCGCGGCUUAUCAACUUGUUGGUGGGGUAGUGGCUUACCAAGGCUUUGACGGGUAGCCGGCCUGAGAGGGUGACCGGCCACAUUGGGACUGAGAUACGGCCCAGACUCCUACGGGAGGCAGCAGUGGGGAAUAUUGCACAAUGGGCGGAAGCCUGAUGCAGCAACGCCGCGUGCGGGAUGACGGCCUUCGGGUUGUAAACCGCUUUCGCCUGUGACGAAGCGUGAGUGACGGUAAUGGGUAAAGAAGCACCGGCUAACUACGUG
rnacentral:rRNA from 1 species